rnacentral:tRNA from 1 species
CGGGAUGUAGCUCAGCUUGGUAGAGUGCAACAAUGGGGUUGUUGAGGUCGCAGGUUCAAAUCCUGUCAUCCCGACCA